AUCUCCACCCCAUGCAGGGGCAAUCAGAGUUGACCCUUGGGAGAGAGUGCUCUCCUGUUAGAGUUGUACAUGCUAAGGAUCAGGUCAGCCUAGAGCCCCAAGUCAUCAGUGCCACCAAGAGAGAAGACCCACCUGAAGAGGAAGCCAACACCAUGGAAAACAGGGUUGGGGAGAGGGGAAUGGAGACCUGAUGAUGUGAAUCCCUGGAUCCAGCUGUGGCUAACAUAUUUGACCCUCUGCCAUCUGCUAUGUGAGCCAAAAAAUAUCCAGUUUUGCUUCAGCUUAUUUGAGCUGGGUUUCAGUCACUUGUGAAGAAAAUUCCACAAGCAAUUGGCUUGAAAAGUCUUCCAAAUUUGGAGAUUAAAUAUAUUCUUUUCAGACAUGUCAACUUUAAGAAACUUUAAAAGAAUUUCUUCCUUCCUCCCUGUUAGGGACUGAAUUAUGUCUUCCCUCAAAUUCAUAUGUUGAAGUCCUAAUCCUCAAUGUGACUGUAUUUGGUGACAGGUCCUUUAGGGAGGUAAUGAAGGUCACAGGGUGGAGUCCUGAUCCAGUAGUACUGGUGUUCUUAGAGGAAGAGAGACCAGGGCUCUCCUGCACUCUCACUCUCUCUCUCCUUGCACAGACAAGAGGCCAUGUGAGGACACAAUAAGAAGGUGGCCAUAAACAAGCCACGAAGGGAUACCUCACCAAACACCAACUCUGGCACCUUGGCACCUUGAUCUUGGACUUCCAGCCUGCAGAACUGUGAAAAAACAAAUGUCUGUUGUUUGGGUCAUCUGGUCAGUGGUAUUUUGUUAUGGCUGCUCAAGCAGGCUCCCUACUACUCAUUCCCUGUGAAGUUUCUGAAGGAGGCAACCAACAGUUUGUCCCAUUGUGAGGGUCACCCCAGUCCUGCUUUCUUCACCACCAACAGCCCUCAAAAGAAAAGCCAUGAUGAGGAAACUAGAGCCUGCCUUCCAAAUCUGGAAAUGCUAGAAGACACUAGUGACUCUAACAUAAUAAAGGAAGAAAUCCAAGAUGCUUUAGGCUAAUUUUUUUCAUAUUUUCUUCAAAAGUUACAGUAAUUUAAUAACCUCAUUCGAAAUCACCAUGACUGAAGAUCAAAAUCACAAUAUUGUUUUAAAUUUAUUAUGUAUCAUGACUCAAAAAACUCUCUAGAAUAAAUUCACCUUUGACACUAACUAAUGAAGACAAUUUGCUCUAAUUCAAUUGUAAGAGAAAAUAUUUCAAGUAAAGCUUACAAGAGGAUGAUUUUGAUUUUUUGGCUAGAAGACUUCAGUUGUAGACAAGAACCACCCUCCCCCCGAAAAAAUUUGUUAUAACAUACUUAAGAUGAUAAUGCUUGAUGUUUAUAUUGAUUUGCAUUCCUUGUGAUACUUUCUUAGCCCUCCAGGGAUCUCUGUCCCAUGAGUUGGGAUCACUGGGACAAAGAAACACAGAUUAUCUGCCUUAACGGACCACACUAGAUUUUCAUUUCUGCUUCCACACUGACUCUAUUAAACUACUACAUGUCAGGCGGCAUCCAGAAAACUCCAGUAUAUGCUUGUGAGAGGGGAAUGAAAGAAGCAAAUGAUGUCCAGGUGAUGUUGUGAAAAGUAUUUGAUCUCAUGGAACCUCUGAAAAGGUCUCUGGGACUCCUGGGGACCCCUGGAUCAUACUUUGAGACUGCUGCCUCAAGAGAGAAGAUGCAAAUAAAGCUGGUUUUCAUUGACUGA